GGUGGUUCUCGGGUGACACACCCUGGAAUCAGGCUCCCUCCUCUCUGGUUCAGAGUGUGUCACCUGAGAACUGCG
rfam:Myotis lucifugus cont2.32185, whole genome shotgun sequence.